rnacentral:rRNA from 1 species
GACGAACGCUGGCGGCGUGCUUAACACAUGCAAGUCGAACGGAAAGGCCCUGCUUUUGUGGGGUGCUCGAGUGGCGAACGGGUGAGUAACACGUGAGUAACCUGCCCUUGACUUUGGGAUAACUUCAGGAAACUGGGGCUAAUACCGGAUAGGAGCUCCUGCUGCAUGGUGGGGGUUGGAAAGUUUCGGCGGUUGGGGAUGGACUCGCGGCUUAUCAGCUUGUUGGUGGGGUAGUGGCUUACCAAGGCUUUGACGGGUAGCCGGCCUGAGAGGGUGACCGGCCACAUUGGGACUGAGAUACGGCCCAGACUCCUACGGGAGGCAGCAGUGGGGAAUAUUGCACAAUGGGCGGAAGCCUGAUGCAGCAACGCCGCGUGCGGGAUGAGGGCCUUCGGGUUGUAAACCGCUUUCGCCUGUGACGAAGCGUGAGUGACGGUAAUGGGUAAAGAAGCACCGGCUAACGACG